UACGUAGGGUGCAAGCGUUGUCCGGAAUUAUUGGGCGUAAAGAGCUCGUAGGCGGUUUGUCGCGUCUGCUGUGAAAACCCGAGGCUCAACCUCGGGCCUGCAGUGGGUACGGGGCAGACUAGAGUGCGGUAGGGGGAGAUUGGAAUUCCUGGUGUAGCGGUGGAAUGCGCAGAUAUCAGGAGGAACACCAAUGGCGAAGGCAGAUCUCUGGGCCGUAACUGACGCUGAGGAGCGAAAGCGUGGGGAGCAAACAGG
rnacentral:rRNA from 1 species